rnacentral:rRNA from 1 species
GUAACAUUGGUGCUUGCACCAGAUGACGAGUGGCGCACGGGUGCGUAACGCGUAUGCAACCUACCUUUUACUAGAGUAUAGCCCAGAGAAAUUUGGAUUAAUCCUCUAUAACAUCUUUUAAUUUCAUGAUUUUAAGAUUAAAGUUUUAACGGUAAAAGAUGGGCAUGCGUCCUAUUAGUUUGUAGGUGAGGUAACGGCUCACCUAGACUACGAUAGGUAGGGGCCCUGAGAGGGGGAUCCCCCACACUGGUACUGAGACACGGACCAGACUCCUACGGGAGGCAGCAGUAAGGAAUAUUGGACAAUGGACGAAAGUCUGAUCCAGCCAUGCCGCGUGCAGGAUGACAGCCCUACGGGUUGUAAACUGCUUUUAUACAGGAAGAAACACUCCGACGUGUCGGAGCUUGACGGUACUGUAAGAAUAAGGAUCGGCUAACUCCGUGCCAGCAGCCGCGGUAAUACGGAGGAUCCAAGCGUUAUCCGGAAUCAUUGGGUUUAAAGGGUCCGCAGGCUGUUUUUUAAGUCAGAGGUGAAAUCCUACAGCUCAACUGUAGAACUGCCUUUGAUACUGGAAAACUUGAGUUAUUGUGAAGUGGUUAGAAUGUGUGGUGUAGCGGUGAAAUGCAUAGAUAUCACACAGAAUACCGAUUGCGAAGGCAGAUCACUAAUAAUAUACUGACGCUCAUGGACGAAAGCGUGGGGAGCGAACAGGAUUAGAUACCCUGGUAGUCCACGCCGUAAACGAUGGAUACUAGCUGUUCGUCUAACAUUGGUUAGAUGAGUGGCUAAGCGAAAGUGAUAAGUAUCCCACCUGGGGAGUACGGUCGCAAGACUGAAACUCAAAGGAAUUGACGGGGGCCCGCACAAGCGGUGGAGCAUGUGGUUUAAUUCGAUGAUACGCGAGGAACCUUACCAGGGCUUAAAUGUAGUGGGACAGGUCUAGAGAUAGACCCUUCUUCGGACUCAUUACAAGGUGCUGCAUGGUUGUCGUCAGCUCGUGCCGUGAGGUGUCAGGUUAAGUCCUAUAACGAGCGCAACCCCUAUCGUUAGUUGCCAGCGAGUAAUGUCGGGAACUCUAACGAAACUGCCAGUGCAA